UACGUAGGGGGCGAAGCGUUGUCCGGAGUUACUGGGCGUAAAGGGCGUGCAGGCGGUGCGGUAAGUUUAGCGUGACAGUCUCCGGCUUAACUGGAGAAGGCCGCUGAAAACUGCUGGACUUGAGGGCCAGAGAGGGACAUAGAAUUCCGGGUGGAGUGGUGAAAUGCGUAGAUAUCCGGAGGAAUACCAAAGGCGAAGGCAGUGUCCUGCUGGCAACUGACGCUGAGGCGCGAAAGCUAGGGGGAGCGAACAGG
rnacentral:rRNA from 1 species